rnacentral:lncRNA from 1 species
UCACUUGAGGGAGCUCAGUUUUUUUGUUUAUUUGAUUUCGAGACAGAGUUAAGCACAGUUGCCCAGGUUGGAGUGCAAUGGCAGAUCAUAGCUCAUUGCAGCCUUGAAUUCUUAGGCUCAAGUGAUCCUCCUGCUUCAGUCUCUCAAAGUGUUGGGAUUACAGGCUUGAGCCACCAUGCCCACACCCAGCCCAGGAAUUUUUUUUUUUUUUUUUCUUUUGAGAUGAGUCUCCCUCUGUUGCCAGGCUGGAGUGCAGUGGCGCAAUCUCAGCUCACUGCAACCUCCGCCCCCCCCCCCCCCCGGGUUCAAGCAACCCUCGUGCCACAGCCUCCCGAGUAGCUGGGAUUACAGGCGCGUGCCACCACACCUAGCUAAUUUUUAUGGUUUUUGGUAGAGACAGGGUUUCACCUUGUUAGCUAGGCUGGUCUCAAACUCCUGACCUCAAGUGAUCCACCCGCCUUGGCCUCCCAAAGUGCUGGGAUUACAGGCGUGAGCCACCGCACCCAACCUGUUUGUUUGUUUUUUCGUUUAGAGACAGGGUCUUACUCUGUCACCCAGGCCAGAGUGCAGUGGUAUGAUCAUAUCUCACUAUAACCUCAAACUCCUAAGCUCAAACAACCCUCCUGCCUCAGCCUCACAAGUGGCUAGGUCUACAGGCAUGCACCACCAUGCUGGGCUAAUUUAAAGUAUAUAUUUUUUGUAGAGAUACAGUCAAGGGAGAGGCAUUUUCACUAUGUUGCCUAGGCUGACCUCAAACUCCUGGCCUCCAUCCAUCCUCUGGCCUCGUCCUCCCAAGUAGCUGGGAUUAUAGGCACAUGCCACCACUCUCAGCUCCCCUGUUCCAUUUUUUUUGUUGUUGUUGUUUAAACGUGACCCAUUUCCCCAUCUUCUAAAUUGCCAGAGGUGACUGAGAGCUCAAAAUGUGGGCCCAGAUGGAUGACCUGAGCCAAAUCCCUUUUACACAACUGGGGCUGCUGGCUGCCAUGUGCCCCAGAGGCCAACACAGAGAGAAGUGAGAAGAGCAGAGCCAAGAGUCAGACAAAGAAAGAGAGUCCGGGCAGCCCUGGGUUGCUGGUUCUAGUCCCGGAGGCCAUGGCUGCUGUACUCUGUUUUCCAGUUCUGUGAACUAUCACAACAGCCCUGCAGGCUUCUCAAGUCACUUAAAUUCACUCUUGCUUUAGCCACAUUGAGAGGAGUUUUAACACUUGCAACCAAAAAGAGUUCUGACAAAUACACAAGGUCACAGGUAAUUCUGAAUCAUCGACUUGGAGGCCCAAAGUUCAAAGAGGCCUCAAAAGGUCAUCCAGGCCAGCAGCUUAAAAAACAAUAACAACAAAAACAAACAAACAAAAAAUCCCUCUUAUUUUAAAUAGCUAAAUGUUCAAAUCUUCAGGAACCCAAAUAUAUAAAGCAGUCAAAAGAGGAAGUGCUGUGGUAACUGUAAGAGUGUGAAGACCCCGAGCCCUGCCCACCACCUCCUCUGUAUCCAGCUGAAAGCUACUCAUCUGGUCCAACUUCCUACAUCAGGAAUCACUUUGACCACAUUUUUGACACCUGGUCACCUAGCCUCAGCUUGAACACAUCCACACGGGCAGCUGAGUAAGCCUUGAGGCAGUCCCCUUCCUUUUCUUGACUUCUCUGAUAGCAAGACAUGGGUCUUAGUCCUCUGGGGUGAAACAGUGUGAAUUAAAAGCACCUUCUCUGUGGCAGCCCUUCCUGAUGACAAUGAUCAUGUCCCACUUAGCUCCCAGCUUACACAUCCUCACUUCCUUCUGACUGUUCCUCAUGGGACAUCAUGUCCAGCUGGUGAGAUGCCUAAAAUAGGCAGGCUGCUGUUUAAGGUGUGAUUUCAGGAGGACCAUAAAGACAGAAGCCUUAGAGUUAGAGAACAUGCUUAUUUUAAA